rnacentral:rRNA from 1 species
CCAAUAGCGUAUAUUAAAGUUGUUGCAGUUAAAAAGCUCGUAGUUGAAUUUCGGGGUUAGUAGGUCGGUCAUGCCACUGGUAUGUACUGGUCUCACUGAUUCCUCCUUCCUGAUGAACCGUAAUGCCAUUAACUUGGUGUUGCGGGGAGACUGGACUGUUACUUUGAAAAAAUUAGAGUGUUUAAAGCAGGCUAACGCUUGAAUACAUUAGCAUGGAAUAAUGAAAUAGGACGUUCGAUCCUAUUUUGUUGGUUUCUAGGAUUGACGUAAUGAUUAAUAGGGAUAGUUGGGGGCAUUAGUAUUCAAUUGUCAGAGGUGAAAUUCUUGGAUUUAUUGAAGACUAACUACUGCGAAAGCAUUUGCCAAGGAUGUUUUCAUUAAUCAAGAACGAAAGUUAGGGGAUCGAAGACGAUCAGAUACCGUCGUAGUCUUAACCAUAAACUAUGCCGACUAGGGAUCGGAUGAUGUUAAUUUUUUAAUGACUCAUUCGGCGCCUUACG